rnacentral:rRNA from 1 species
UACAGAGGUCCCAAGCGUUGUUCGGAUUUACUGGGCGUAAAGGGUGCGUAGGUGGUGGGGUAAGUCUGAUGUGAAAUCUCCGGGCUCAACUCGGAAAUGGCAUUGGAAACUACCUUGCUCGAGGAUUGGAGGGGGGACUGGAAUGCUCGGUGUAGCAGUGAAAUGCGUAGAUAUCGAGCGGAACACCAGUGGCGAAGGCGAGUCCCUGGACAAUUCCUGACACUGAGGCACGAAAGCUAGGGGAGCAAACAGG